AUUUACCCCUACGUGCGGAUCCAUAACUCUUUGUUUCGACGCCACGCAAGGUGUCUUGAAGAGAACUGAUUAAAAUUUUACAUCUAUCAUCUGCAGCAACCUUGGAUUGUUUUAUCAAUGAAAUGGCUGUAACCAGGGUUUCUAUAGCGCUUGCGUAUUCCCCUGCUGCAGCAUCAGAUACUGCUCGAGCAAUAGCAGAAGAAGAAACGGUUCUAUUUCUACCCAUGAUUUCUUCAAAUUCUUGUUCUGUAAGCGGAGGAGGACCUUCUGGGCGAUGAUCAGGUCCUGGUGCGCCAUAAGGUGGUCCAUAACCAUGAGGUGGCACAUGUGGUGGUCCAUGUGGUUGACCAUGUGGAGGACCAUGAGGUGGACCAUGAGGUGGACCAUGUGGUGGACCAUGAGGUGGUCCAUGAGGUGGACCAGGAGGACCUGGUGGAUGUUGUCCUGGAUGUUGAUGAGGUGGUCCUUGUGGGAAAAAUGCUGGAUUCACAUGUGGUGCAGGUCCUCCUGGGGGUCCUUGUGGUGGUCCUUGAGGUGGGCCACCAUGACCAGGUGGCGGACCUCCUGGACCUGACUAUAAGCUGUGGAAAAACAAGAAUUUUAUCAUAACGACACAUGAAAUGAAGGAAAGAACAGAGCGUGUGAGUCCAAGAUGUUUCAGUAUAUAAUCUAUAAUGAAUCAUGAUACUUAACAAACCUGGUGGUCUAUUCCAUUCGGGACGUGGUUGAGCACCUCUUGGAUCACCUGGAGGUGGCAUUCUCUGUGGUCGUACACCCUGUGGAGGACCCAUCAUCAUCCUAGGACCAUGAUUUUGUUGCGAAUGUUGAGGGUGUUGGGGAUGUUGUGGAUGCUGUUGAUGGGGUGGCAUUGGUGACUGAUGCUGAUGUGGAUUAUGGGGACGCUGACUCUGACUCUGUUGAGGAGCCGGAGCUGGUCGUGUCUUACACUGAGACUCAAACUG
rnacentral:misc_RNA from 1 species